ACGGAAGGCAGCAGUCGGGAAUAUUGCGCAAUGGAGGGAACUCUGACGCAGUGACGCCGCGUAUAGGAAGAAGGUUUUCGGAUUGUAAACUAUUUUAGACAGGGAAGACAAAGACAGUACCUGUAGAAUAAGCUCCGGCUAACUACGAGCCAGCAGCCGCGGUAAUACGUAGGGAGCAAGCGUUAUCCGGAUUUAUUGGGUGUAAAGGGUGCGUAGACGGGAAAGCAAGUUAGUUGUGAAAGCCCUCGGCUUAACUGAGGAACUGCAACUAAAACUACUAUUCUUGAGUGCAGGAGAGGAAAGCGGAAUUCCUAGUGUAGCGGUGAAAUGCGUAGAUAUUAGGAGGAACACCAGUGGCGAAGGCGACUUUCUGGACAGUAACUGACACUGAGGUACGAAAGUGUGGGGAGCAAACAGGAUUAGAUACCCUGGUA
rnacentral:rRNA from 1 species